UACGUAGGCGGGAAAUUAAGUCAGUGGUGAAAUCCCGCAGCUUAACUGUGGAACUGUCAUUGAUACUGGUUUUCUUGAAUUUAGUUGAGGUAGGCGGAAUGUGUAAUGUAGCGGUGAAAUGCUUAGAUAUUACACAGAACACCGAUUGCGAAGGCAGCUUACUAAGCUAUGAUUGACGCUGAGGUACGAAAGCGUGGGGAGCGAACAGGAUUAGAUACCCUGGUAGUCC
rnacentral:rRNA from 1 species